ACAAUUCCUGACGAAGGUGUAUAUGUUCGUCUCUCUGAAGAAUAGAUAUGAGAAGAAGAUAGGUUAAUUCUAGGCUUUGUUCUUUUAAUCCUUAUUGAGAAACCUAGCCCUAAUCUUUUUCUCCUCUUUUCUCUUUAACCUUGCGUCGAUCUCAAACUCCGUAAAGAAGUAGUUGUUUCAAGGAGGAUUAAUCAAUAGCUGGUUCUAAUGGGGAUUGUCGAAUCCAGAAUCUGAUGUAUCUGACCGUAAUAGUGUUGAGAAAUCUGUUUACUUCUUCAUCGAAAUUUCAGAUGAAACUGAAGAGGGAAUCAGAGCGGAAAUUGAUAUGGGUUUGUCGAGAUAAGGGUUAUUGAGAACUGAUAUUGAUGAUUAAGUCAAAAUAAUUGAAAAUUUUCAGAAUCUAAGGUUUGAUUUUGGGAAGAGCAGCUGAGGCUGUGUCUGAAUCGGUAAGAAUGAGAAUGGGUUAACUGAAGAUGGGGGUUUGAGAGUUCUUGGAUGAUGAUAAGAGUUGGGUUGAGCUCGAUUUUCAACCAGAUGAAGAAAUCAAUCGAGAAAAAAUAUUCCAUGUUCAAAUAUUUCUCUAUUUUUUUCCCUAUCAAUUUCAAUUGAAUUUCGAUUUCAGAAUUACUUAUACAUUCAAAAUUCAUGUGUUUUAUAGGUUUGUCGUGGUGAAGAUACCAUUAUUAUUAUGCAUCUUCGAAGGUUUUUGAUGGUUAUUGAUGUCUAAUAGACAAAGGCACAGUUGGCCGAUUAGUAAAACAUUGUUGGAUGCAAGCCUAUGGAGUAAAUUUAACGAGAUGGCGGGGUUAUUGUUUAUGAUAUGUUAAGGGGGUGAUUUAAGAUGUGAAGUCGAAUAAGAAAGGAGAUGAAGAGGAUUACCAGAAAAAGUAAUCAGUGUUCCAUCAUUUUCGCCUCCAGUUUAUCUUGCGUCCAAGCACAAAUUGAUCAUUAGUAUCAAACAGAGUCAAAGCGAAAUAUUUACCAUCUGCUAUAUAAAUGUUAACCAUAUCUGGGGAGAUAACAAAGUUUGAUAACCACAUCGGCAUUUAUAAGUUUAUUCAAGACCUGCACUUUUUUGUUCCCAGUGGUGACAAUGAGAAUGAACUUAAAUUAGCCACUAAAUUUCGAGUAUUCCGUAAUGUAGUUGCACUCCUUCUCAGGGAUUGAUGGGUGAUUUGACAACCAUUAAAGUGACCAUAAUCAUUUGAUGAAGAUGAAUUUUCAAGCAAACCUGUUAUAUGUACAGAAACUGAAUGCCGCUCAAUUAGUUCCACAAUAAACGCUUCAGCUGGAUAUCGGUGCCGGAGAGGGCUCAGUUGGACGUGUUUAUCAAUAUCAAUUUAAUGACGAGAAGCCAAAAAUUAUGCAAUUGGCGAAUGUGUCAAAUUUGUUUGCAUUAAAAUGCAAGAGCAUGGGUAAAUAAUGCAGGCAUUUGUAGUAGUCGAGGAUCGACCAAGCGUUCUCAAAAAGAAGGAAACACAAUAAAGGUAUCUUGCGAUAAUUGGAGAAUAACGAUAUAGCUAAAAGUAAUGAUGCCAGGUGUUUUUGGAGAAAUACACUUGUGUGGAAAAAGUUGCUCAAAAAGUGCUAUUUGGACUCCCGAAGAAAAGUACUAAAGGUACCCUCAAUUUGGAUAAGGGGCACCACAGUUGGGCACCUGCUAUUCGCACCCCCAAUUUGGUUAGGGGGACACCAUCUUCUACCUUUCAAAUCUGUUUUUGGCGGGAAAAUCUGAUUUCAAAGAACCAGAAUUAGGUUUGGCAGUUUUGACGAGAAUGAAGGAGACUCAACGACUGGGAAUUGUUGGGAUGACUUGAAUGGUGGUAACAGGCGUGGUAUGGUCGAUUUCGUCAGCUAUAUUUGGCUAGAUUCUCGGUGAGAAGAAAACAGGGGAGUGCGUAGUUGAGAAGAGUUUUUCACGGGAUUGCACGUGUUUUCUGUGCAUGGCGUAAGAUGGAUGUGUGUUUAACUACUUCUGGGACGUGUUUCAGACUAAUUGGAGUGUGUCAGAUGUGCAAAGACGCGUGAUGAUUCAAAACAGGGAAGAAAUCUUCGUAUCUUGCAUGGGAAUAUUUUUUAUUAACUGCCGGGAAUUAUUUGGAGUUAUGAGAACAUAUUCUCGGUCGGAAUGGGUAUAUAUAGGCUGCUAGCACCACAUAGAUAGGGUGUCGAGUUUUACCAAACUCGGUUUCUGUUGCUGCUGCUUAUGAACAUGAAGAACACGAAGAACGGACCUGCACCAGCAGUCGUUUUUCUACAGUAAUAAUGACUCACACCUGUGCGUCGUAUAUCAUGCAGACUUAUUUGCUACAGCGUUUGCAACACAGCUGCAUCAGUAUUAUUUUGUCACUGAGGGUCGUAGUUCUCUGGUUUUUAACAAAUAUAAUUGUUACAAACCCGGUUUUAUUGUAUUUCUCAUAUUCUCAUCAUUUGUAAACCAUUUUUGAGCAUCAAUGAAAUUCUUUGAGAGGUUUUCCAACA